AUUGCUUCUCGGCCUUUUGACUAAGAUCAAGUGUAAUAUCUGUUCUUAUCAGUUUAAAAAAUAUACAUAUACAUAAAAAGUGGUCCAUGAAUGUUCGUAACAGCAUUAUUCGUAACAGCCUCC
ensembl:snRNA U2 U2 spliceosomal RNA